UUGUAUGAACUGAACUUUGAACUAGUUCAGAAUUUAGAUGGUGAACUAUGAACGUGAACUAUUCAUGUUUACUUGUAUGAACUGAACUUUGAACUAGUUCAUGAGAGUAGUGAACUUGCACAACACUGACAAACUCCACACAGAAAGACCCUGGCCGAACUGGGAUUCAAACCAGGGACCUUCUUGCUGUAAGGCACCACUGUGACACCUAUAAUAGAUCCCUCUGAGUUGUGUGCAUUGCUCCUCAGUCAGAUGCUGGAUCUCAAAAUGAAGACUGGAAAGAGGAGGAAACCACCAGCUCCGCCAAAGCAAAACAAAAACAACCCGAGCACAAGGGUCACAGCGGAGGUUGACGUACCCUCCACGUUCAGAAAGCAUGCUGCGGCCGACCAAACUGCUCCGCGCUCUACAAGAUCAACCUGCCCACGAUGGCACCCACCACAAAGAAGAGCAUGAUGAGGAACACGGUGCGGACGCUCAACCCUUCCUCUUUCUUCAUGGCCACCGAGGGGUGCUGAGACGACAUCACGUUGCUCUUCCUCAUCCGCAGGCCGUCGUCCUCCUGAAGCGGAGGGAAGAGGAGAGGAACAAAUUAGCACAUGAUGAAAGAAAGGAAGUGGGUGGAAAGUGGCAGAGAGGUGGUGGUCGGAGAGUAAACAAAUUCCCCCCCUUUAAUAUUUCUGACAGGGAGAUUAAAGGGAUGCCCGACUCUAUGAUGAACCACUGAAAUGGAAAAUAAAACAAAAUGAAUA